rnacentral:rRNA from 1 species
AUUGAACGCUGGCGGCAGGCCUAACACAUGCAAGUCGAGCGGAUGAAGGGAGCUUGCUCCUGGAUUCAGCGGCGGACGGGUGAGUAAUGCCUAGGAAUCUGCCUGGUAGUGGGGGAUAACGUCCGGAAACGGGCGCUAAUACCGCAUACGUCCUGAGGGAGAAAGUGGGGGAUCUUCGGACCUCACGCUAUCAGAUGAGCCUAGGUCGGAUUAGCUAGUUGGUGGGGUAAAGGCCUACCAAGGCGACGAUCCGUAACUGGUCUGAGAGGAUGAUCAGUCACACUGGAACUGAGACACGGUCCAGACUCCUACGGGAGGCAGCAGUGGGGAAUAUUGGACAAUGGGCGAAAGCCUGAUCCAGCCAUGCCGCGUGUGUGAAGAAGGUCUUCGGAUUGUAAAGCACUUUAAGUUGGGAGGAAGGGCAGUAAGUUAAUACCUUGCUGUUUUGACGGUACCAACAGAAUAAGCACCGGCUAACUUCGUGC